rfam:Ilyobacter polytropus DSM 2926, complete genome.
UAGUCAAAGAAGAAACGCCCGUUUCUCACCUUACUAGCCAAAGUAGCUACAUAAGGUCAAUCUAGUUGAUUUUUUCAAAUCAGCUGUAAUUUUUUUAUGAAAAAUGAGCAGGGCGUUUUGUGUCCUGUUUUUUUAUUGUUUA